UAUAUAUAUAUAUAUAUAUGGAAACCUGGCUGAUUCUUAGAAAACUACGUGAACAAAAGGGGAGAAAUCUCUCUCUGGAACAUGGUGAAAUGGAUUCAUUUCCUUUCUUAUUUUAAUGUAACUUGAAUGUGGUCCUGUGGCUUGCUUUACAUGAUCGACUUUCCUUAACAUGAAGAGGGCAAACUGACGCUAGCAUUUCCCUCGAGUGAUUUGCAUAAUAUGAAUGGGCUAAACAGCUUCAAUAAGACCAUCUAAAAUGGUCAUUUAUAUGCUUUUGAAUUGAUGGAUCUACAGUACUCAUCCCCCUGAACUGGAGUUGUGCAAAGUGUGUCUUUUGUCUUGUAAAAUAUUUUCCUUCCGUUUUUGUGUUUUGAUACUGUGUCGGUAGGCAAGGGACUGGGAUUGGAUUGUAGGGUUUUUCAGUUUCAAAUUUGGUUUAUG
rnacentral:misc_RNA from 1 species